AGUGAACGCUGGCGGUAGGCCUAACACAUGCAAGUCGAACGGCAGCACAGUAAGAGCUUGCUCUUACGGGUGGCGAGUGGCGGACGGGUGAGGAAUACAUCGGAAUCUACUUUUUCGUGGGGGAUAACGUAGGGAAACUUACGCUAAUACCGCAUACGACCUACGGGUGAAAGCAGGGGAUCUUCGGACCUUGCGCGAUUGAAUGAGCCGAUGUCGGAUUAGCUAGUUGGCGGGGUAAAGGCCCACCAAGGCGACGAUGCGUAGCUGGUCUGAGAGGAUGAGCGGCCACACUGGAACUGAGACACGGUCCAGACUCCUACGGGAGGCAGCAGUGGGGAAUCUUCGACAAUGGGCGAAAGCCUGACGGAGCAACGCCGCGUGAGUGAUGAAGGUCUUCGGAUCGUAAAGCUCUUUUAUUAGGAAAGAAAAAAUGGGUAAGUAACCCCGCACGUCUUGACGGUACCUAAUAAGAAAGCCACGGCUAACUACGUG
rnacentral:rRNA from 1 species